AUCAGCAGCCAUAUCAGCCCAUACCCUGCAACUCAUACCUGGCAACCCACUGAAGUAAAGCAGGUAUGAGCCUGGUCAGUACCUGGAUGUGAGACCUCCUGGGAAAAACUAAGGUUGCUGCUGGAA
rnacentral:rRNA from 1 species